GCCCUUAUAGCCUAAUGGAUAAGGCGUUGGACUUCUAAUCCAACGAUCUGGGUUCGAGUCCCAGUAGGGGCU